UCCUAGGACAAAGGGGAAAUGAGGCUUGAGAUUCAAUAAUUUUAGUAGAAAUCUGUUCUAUUUUACAAUUUCACUUUUCAUUUGUACCCAGCUAGUGAUUAUACUCGGUAUCCAUUUUCCACACAAAAUCCCAAAGACUUUCAGAAUCUCCUCUCGGUGUAUUUGGACGCCACCUUUUUCCCAUGUUUACACGAGCUGGAUUUCUGGCAGGAAGGAUGGCGGCUGGAACACGAGAAUCCUAGCGACCCCCAGACACCCUUGGUCUUUAAAGGAGUCGUCUUUAAUGAGAUGAAGGGAGGGGUUGUAAGUUUUCUUCCUUUUUUAUGUUGUGUUCAGCUUACCUUACCCAUGUACAGUACCAUGAUAUAGACACAUCUGGAAGAUGGUUGAUUUUUAUUUAACAUUCUCAUUAUAGGUGACAUGUUCUUGGAUUACCUGGGGUCAGUGCUGGGAGCAGAAGCCAGGGGGCAGCAGGGCCAGGCUGCUGUUCUUCCCAGCAGGUCUCAGACCCUGUCUGACGACCCCCAUCUAUGAUCUGCAGCGAGAGAAACGCUAUUUUCAUACCACUAUCAACACAUUGUCUUUUUUACUCAUUCUUGCCCAAGUCCAUGGUGUACUUUCUAGAGGCUGCGUGGUGAGGUGUGUGACACACAGCAAGCUGGAUACAGAGCAGAUGGGGGAGUCCAGCUUCACCUCUGAGCCAGACACUACAGAGGUUUGCAAAAAAGGCAACACAGCAUCACUCUAACUAGUCAGUUUUUCACUUUGUUAUGAGAUCCAUUUGGGACAAAGGGCAGUUUCAGUGUCUUUCACUCCACGCUCAAACUAGAUUGUCCUUAUAGCUCAGGUAUCCUGGGGAUACCUGACAGGGGAAUGGCCAUUGCUGUUGCUUUCAACUACUCAUUCAGGGAUUUGAGGAACUAGCUUUUCUGAAGCUCAGUGAAAAAACACUGAGGUCUCCUGGGGAUAAUCCAUCUCGUUUUCUUUUGGUUUUGGGAGCCCAACCCAAGAAUCAAAUAACUUUCCUAAGGAUUUCCAGGAGAAAACAUCUUCCUACCAAUGAAGAACCUUACCAUUGGAAAAACACCUCCUCGUAAUUUGCAAAAACCCCAGUUUUCUGGGAAGUGAUAAUCUUGUCAUGAGAACCAAAGAUAAAGUUGGAGAUAAUGAGGGAGUGGUUACAUAGGAAAUAUGUGGUCAUUACUCUGACCAAUUAUUAAAUCACUUUCUUCAUAUGACAUAAUUUUUAACAGCUUCUUACUAAACCACAGUGCAGGUAAGAGAGUCACAAGAUGGCUUCUUCCUUGAGUCACAGUCAUCCACUGCCCACAAAAGGGCCUAGCAAGAAUGACUUAGGUCACCCUUAUUUCCUGGCUACUUGGAGGAGCUGGAUUUCCCAGUUUACAAAUCUCAGCUUCCUGGGAUUCUGCUCUGAUAAAAUCUAAAUUGUAUUUUU